GCACCACCUACCCAGGAAUUUUGUUCUCAGAGAGAAUUCAAAGGGGGUGUCAACGUGCGUGCCAGCGCGUCAACGGCCUUCACUGGAGCGAAAGAAAGAAGUGCCGCAGUUCCGUGUAAGUACAUAUUAUACAUAUGCUGGGUUUAUACACCAAGGAUAAGGAAUAACGCUUAAUAAGAUAAUUGCUUAACCGGUGAUAAGCAUUAUUUAUUACAUUACAUAGUGUAUGAUGAAUCUUUUUUCCAUAGCCUACUGGGGUUUAAAGUGAGCUAAAGUACACAACAGAAUGACAAGAUCUUAUACGUUAUGCGCAAAUUCCUAUUGUUGG
rnacentral:lncRNA from 1 species